rnacentral:lncRNA from 1 species
UUUUAUUAUUAGCACUCCUUUAUGACCAUCACGUUUCAGGUCUAUCACACAUUCAUAGUUAAUUCCCAUACAGAGCCCGGUGGGACUCAUCAACAUAUUUGGCCAAAUGCCCCUUAUUUCUAGAUUUGACCAUGGGGUAUUCCUUGAAAUCAGAGCCCUUAAAACAACCAUCUUUGUCAUUACCAACGAUAGGACAAAGGGUCAAUUCCACAAUUCGUCGCCAUAUCAUUUGGUCAAAAAUUAAAUAUCAAGCAUCUAAACAAAUCAGUAAACAAGCCUAAAUCAAAAUAAAUGAUAAAGUAAGCAUGGAGAGCACUUAGAAUUAUAAGUAAAAAUACUAAGAAUUCCUUACCAGAAUUGAGUUAACUAGCCUUUCGGAAGCAAAGAAAAAGCUUUUAGAAAUUCCUUAAGCAAGCUUAUGAUUCCUCCACUCUUCUCCUUCUCUCUCAAUAAAAUUUCUUCUCUUCCUCUCUAUAAUUUUGGUGAAAUUUUGAAGAAAUGGAAAGAUGGUGAAGAAUGGAGGGGAAAGUAGGUUUUUAAAGGGAUUUGAAGGGUUGGAUUCACACUACGUGGUGGGAAUUCAAAGGGUAAAGUGCGCGCAUGGUCGUGGGCCACCUGCAGCAUGGGCCGCCUAGUGUUAUGACUAGUCAUGUUGGCUGGCAGCAAGCUUGCUUCUAGCAGUCGUGCAGUGCACACCUCACUGCCCACCUCUUGUUGCGUCAAUUUCCCUUCCUUCCUAAAAUUAUUGUUUAAAUUAAAUUAUGGAAAAUAGAAAGGGAAAAAAAUUAUUAACGAUUUUCAAAAUACC